rnacentral:rRNA from 1 species
CCAUACGACCGUACCGCAAACCGACACUGGUGCGCGAGAUGAGUAUUCUAAGGCGCUUGAGAGAACUCAGGAGAAGGAACUCGGCAAAUUGACACCGUAACUUCGGAAGAAGGUGUGCCCUAUUAGUGUGUAGUGAACAACGAAGCAUGAAUGGGUUGCAAGAAAUCGGUGGCUGCGACUGUUUAUUAAAAACACAGCACUCUGCAAACACGAAAGUGGACGUAUAGGGUGUGACGCCUGCCCGGUGCUGGAAGAUUAAAUGAUGGGGUGCAAGCUCUUGAUUGAAGUCCCAGUAAACGGCGGCCGUAACAAUAACGGUCCUAAGGUAGCGAAAUUCCUUGUCGGGUAAGUUCCGACCUGCACGAAUGGCGUAACGAUGGCCACACUGUCUCCUCCUGAGACUCAGCGAAGUUGAAAUGUUUGUGAUGAUGCAAUCUCCCCGCGGAAAGACGGAAAGACCCCAUGAACCUUUACUGUAGCUUUGUAUUGGACUUUGAACAGAUCUGUGUAGGAUAGGUGGGAGGCUUUGAAGCAGGGUCGCUAGAUCUUGUGGAGCCAACGUUGAAAUACCACCCUGGUGUGUUUGAGGUUCUAACCUAGGUCCAUUAUCUGGAUCGGGGACAGUGCAUGGUAGGCAGUUUGACUGGGGCGGUCUCCUCCCAAAGCGUAACGGAGGAGUUCGAAGGUACGCUAGUUACGGUCGGACAUCGUGACGAUAGUGCAAUGGCAUAAGCGUGCUUAACUGCGAGACUGACAAGUCGAGCAGAUGCGAAAGCAGGACAUAGUGAUCCGGUGGUUCUGUAUGGAAGGGCCAUCGCUCAACGGAUAAAAGGUACUCUGGGGAUAACAGGCUGAUACCGCCCAAGAGUUCAUAUCGACGGCGGUGUUUGGCACCUCGAUGUCGGCUCAUCUCAUCCUGGGGCUGUAGCCGGUCCCAAGGGUAUGGCUGUUCGCCAUUUAAAGAGGUACGUGAGCUGGGUUUAAAACGUCGUGAGACAGUUUGGUCCCUAUCUUCCGUGGGCGCUGCAGAUUUGAGGAAGCCUGCUCCUAGUACGAGAGGACCGGAGUGGACACACCUCUGGUGUAUCGGUUGUCACGCCAGUGGCAUUGCCGAGUAGCUAAGUGUGGAAGAGAUAACCGCUGAAAGCAUCUAAGCGGGAAACUCGUUUCAAGAUGAGAUCUGCCGGGGCCUUGAGUCCCCUAAAGAGUCGUUCAAGACCAGGACGUUGAUAGGUCAGGUGC